UGCCUUAUGGUGUAACGGUAGCACAACAGAUUCUGAAUCUGUUUGUCAAGGUUCGAAUCCUUGUAAGGCAACCA
rnacentral:tRNA from 2 species